rnacentral:antisense_RNA from 1 species
CUUGAUGGUGGCUGUGCGCAUGGUGCCCUCGGGCGCGCCGGUUUUGACUGGAGGCCGGUCUACUAACUUGCGCACAGCUGCCUCCCCA